UGCUAACUAGUCGUCAACCUUAAAUUAGUUUGAUUUGUGACUAUUUUUGGCGAGGUCAAACUGGCUGCUUUCCUCAAUCUGUUAUGAAGACUGCAGUUCCAUAAGCUGUUAUGAACAGCUUUCAUGUGAGUGGAUUUCUCAAUCUCAUCCCAUCUGGACUGCAAGGAGCCCCAAUUUAUAAGGGUAUCCGAGUUCCUGGCAGUGCCAGCUGGAAGAACCACAGGCCGAUGCCAACAUCCCCCCCUUUACCUGGCAUUGUGCCCUCUGCGUGCCCGUGCCGUGCACUGAGUUGCUGAGACAACCAAAGCAGUGAAGUGGAGCAGUCCCAGCUGCAGCCCAGAGCACAGACCAAAAGUGCCCAUAUAAGAGACACCCAAGUCUCCUUGUAUGCCACCCUCAGAAGGUCAGCUGGCAACUCUGAUAUGAUCAGCAGCAUCGUGACUUGAGUGUGCGGGGAGCAGGACUUGACUCAGACCUGACUCACCGCUCCUGUGGGUUCAUUUCUCCACUGAUCUCGCAGCUUUUGCCCUCAGCUGCGCCGGGGACAGACUUGCACAAGUUCAGGCACAGAACAAGCUGAGCGCCUGAUGAAAGUAAAUAACUCGGAUCAGCGUGGGGACAUUAUGCCGUGUUGUUUGGCCCCUGUGAUAGUCAGAUAUUCAGAGAAAAUGCAGAGCUUGACGAUGACAGCUGUGAAUUUCUCCCAAUGGUGCAAACAGAGUGACUGAGUACAUGCUGUGUGCUUCUAUUCUGGUAAUGGCGAUAAUGAUGAAGAUGAUUAAGAUAAUGACAUGGGCUGCAAUCAUCGUUAUAUUUGGGUGAGGUCAGCCGUGUGGGCUUAGAGCUAUGAUGAAGUAAUAUGAUAUUGUUUUCACAUUCAGGUAGUGUAGAUCAUAUGGGGGAUGAUGCCCGUGACUACAAUAGAUAUGACUUUAGCAUUACAUCAUUAAAUGAUGCGUUCAUGUGACAAGAAUAUUUCUCAGAUGAGACAUAAUCCUGAUUCAGUGUGAUGAUGAUAAUAAGUGGAGAGUGAGGCUGAGAUCACUUGUAGAUCAAUGUGAACUGAUGCUGAAGAACGCACGUAACACCAGGCAUUCAUUAUUAAACCCACAUGCAUAGUUAUGAA